ACCCUACCCUCUACUAGAUCUCCUGGAUCCUUCCAGCUCUUCGAUCUAGUUCAACAUCUUAUUUGGUGCCGCUGCACCCAAAACCAUCCUAUCCUUGACUACUUCAUGUAGGGCCCCUCCACUUUGCACCCGCUACUCCCUCUCCCCCUCCCUUUAUCCUAUGGAAUGUCCAAGAUGGAAAUGGAAACCUCACCCUCCCCUACUCUCUCCUACCUGCUUUCUCUAUUCCGUGGCCAAAUUGAAGACCUCUGAGAAGGAUACAAAAAGGAAGAAGAGCAAGUCUUGGGCAAUG
rnacentral:lncRNA from 1 species